AACGACUCUCGACAACGGAUAUCUCGGCUCUCGCAUCGAUGAAGAACGUAGCGAAAUGCGAUACUUGGUGUGAAUUGCAGAAUCCCGUGAACCAUCGAGUCUUUGAACGCAAGUUGCGCCCGAAGCCACUAGGCCGAGGGCACGCCUGCUUGGGUGUCGCGC
rnacentral:rRNA from 1 species